AAUUGAUCUGGUCAGAUUGAACGCUGGCGGCGUGCUUAACACAUGCAAGUCGCGCGUGAAAGGACUUCGGUCCGAGUAAAGCGGCGCACGGGUGAGUAACGCGUGGAUGAUCUACCCAUGAGUUAGGAAUAACGGCUGGAAACGGUCGCUAAUACCAAAUACGCUCCGAUUUCAACUUCGGGGGAAAGGUGGCCUCUGCUUGCAAGCUACUGCUCAUGGAUGAGUCCGCGUCCCAUUAGCUAGUUGGUGGGGUAACGGCCCACCAAGGCGACGAUGGGUAGCCGGUCUGAGAGGAUGACCGGCCACACUGGGACUGGAACACGGCCCAGACUCCUACGGGAGGCAGCAGUGGGGAAUAUUGCGCAAUGGGCGAAAGCCUGACGCAGCGACGCCGCGUGAGGGAUGAAGGUCCUCGGAUCGUAAACCUCUGUCAGGAGGGAAGAACCGCCACGGUGCUAAUCAGCCGUGGUCUGACGGUACCUCCAAAGGAAGCACCGGCUAACUCCGUGCCAGCAGCGGC
rnacentral:rRNA from 1 species